rnacentral:lncRNA from 1 species
CCAACGAAGACUGUGGGUGCAGAGAGGAUUACUUACAACUGUGCUGCCUGUUGAAAAAUAUAAUCCUGACUAGUCUCUCCUCUUUGUCUUUCCAACACCAGAGUCUCCUGCAAGAGCAUUUAAAGGAGCCAACAUGAUGCAAAUGGGCCAGUUUGUUAGGUUGCUUAACUAUAUAAGGUAUUUGCAUCCUAUUUAUUUAAGUACAGAUGUGUCUGGAAUGGGUCCUUUUAUUCGCGCGGACUUAGGGAGGGCACCGCUAUGCCUACAAAGGCUUGUUUUCAGAAAUCUCAGCUUGUUAGCGAUAAACCAGAAAAUCCAAGCAGAGGCUGCAAUACUGCUUCAUAGUUCCGAUUUACCAAGCUGCCAGCUUAACUUGUUUGAGAAGUACAAUAUGCUCCCUAUUCGGAUCUGCUCCAUCUCUAUUAUUAUUUUUUUGUAUUAGUCACAUGUAUACAAAAGGCUUACUGAAAUGUUUGAUUAAGACAGAGGUGGGGAACAUAGCUGUCAACCGUCCCUUAUUUGGCGGGAAACUCCCAUAUACCAGCCCCGUGUCCUGCUGCUGUCCCUUAUUGAUGAUGUCCCUUAAAUUUCCCGGGUUUCAAAGGAAGCAGCUCCUCUCACUCGCUCCCUGCCGGCCAGAGAGGAGGGAGGCUCCAACUGUGUUGCUUGGCUGACCGGCCCUUCCCCCUCCGGCCUCCUCUCACCAGCCUCGGCCCCCGGGAGCCCCUCCCCGCCGGGACUGGCGGGAGACUCGGGCCCUUCCACCGCCAUCCUCCUUGCGGCUGGCGAACUGAGCGUCUCUGCCUGCCGCCGCCACUCCCGCUAGGCCGUACUGUGGCUGCGCUGCCGAAGGACCCGGAUGAGAUGGGCAGCCUGGCGCGGCCUAUGAAUUGCUGAGGAGCCUUGAGAGGAGAGCGAGGGCAACCAUAGAGAAAGCAGUUCAGAGAGAGGAGGUGGAGGCGGAGGCGCGGGCAGGUGUUCCAAGGGCUAACCAUAGAGGGGGAAAGUGGGGGAAGGACUGCAAGCGCUUCUCCCAUAGAUUUGUAGUGGUAGACUAGCAUAGAUGGUCUGAUCUGCGGGUUUACUUCGGGCGCUAUUCCCCCCCCUUUCCUCCCGCCCCGCCUGAUGGAACUGAGAGCUGCAGAUGGAGCACGAGAGAAAAGAUACAGAAGUGCAGCAGCAUCUUCAUAGCUUGGACUUCGUUUUGCACGUAAAGUGGUUGCUGCUUGUAGUUAUUUAAUUGCAGUGUUUCAUCGGCUGGUGUCUUGAGCAGCAACCUCUGGUAACAAAGGGCUAAAAACCGGCGCUGCUCUCCCAAAUUAUCUGGUCCCUUUUAACUUCGUAUUUCAGCUGGCUGGCUAAAAUCCCCUUUUUUGGCUGCUGAUCCCUUAUUUUCGAGGCUGCUGGUCCCUUAUUUUCAAAUCUGUAAGUUGACAACUAUGGUGGGGAACCUUGGGCCCAGUGUGCCCAGUGUGGUUCUCAGCUCUCUCCAUCUGGCUCUCAGGUCCCUCUGUAAGCCACACACCUUCCUGAGUCACCAGGAAGGUGAAUGUUUUACAUCCCAUCCUUCACCUGGCUGGAAUAUGUCACUGGAUUCCGAUAAUGCUUCUUGCUUGCCUGAAUGGACAGUGGGUAAUGGUAAAGGACCCCUGGAUGGUUAAGUUCAGUCAAAGGCGACUGUGUGUUGUGGUGCUCAUCUCGCUUUCAGGCCAAGGGAGCCGGCGUUUGUUUGCAGACAGCUUUCUGGGUCAUGUGGCCAGCAGGACUAAACCACUUCUGGCGCAAUGGAACACUGUGAUGGAAGCCAGAGCGCAAAGAAACUGCGAUACCUAUUUGUCUACUUGUGCUGGUGUGCUUUCGAACUGCUAGGUUGGCAGGAGCUGGGACAGAGCAACGGGAGCUCACUCCAUCACAGUGAUUCGAACCACUGAUCUUCUGAUCAGUAAGCCCAAGAGGAUCAGUGGUUUAGACCACAGCGCCACCCGCAUCCCUAUGGACAAUGGAGGGGUAUGUCAGACCCUCCAAAUGUCCCUAUUUUCCAGGUAAACUCUGGAACUUACAGAAACUGUCCCAGUUUCUGAUUUGAUCCCAGAAUGUCCCACUUUUCCUUAGGACGUCCCUAUUUUCAUUGGAGAAAUGUUGGAGGGCAUGGAGUUAUGCAACCUGCGAGCUAAGGAGACAAGUAACUAUACAACCUUUAGAAGACAUCUGAAGGCAGCCCUGUAUAGGGAAGUUUUUAAAAUGUUUAAUGUUUUAUUAUGUUUUUAUAUAUGUCAGAGUGGCUGGGACAACCCAAACAGAAGAGUGGGGUAUAAAUAAAAAUAUUAUUGUUAUGGAAUAGGACAUCCCUGUUUUCAUCAGAGAAAUGUUGGAGGGUAUGGGAUAUGUUUGUGUGUGUGUAGAAAUGAUCCUGCUGUACAAAGGGAAAGUUUAAAUUCAUUGCUCUGACCACUUUUGCUUCUGGCCCCACCCAACACAUGCAUGUGGCCCCUGAAAGGUUUCCAGCAUUUCUCAACCUGAAAUACAUUCCCCGACUCUGCUUAAAAUCAAUGCUGCAAGCUUCAAUCCGUUUAAUCAGAUUCAUCAGUAGAUUAAUCAACCCAAGCUUUAAGUGACCCGUGGAGAGUAAGGUAAUCAGCAGGGCUGAAAAUUAAUUUUUUAAAAAGAAGAAGAAACCCUCCCCCCUCUUCCUCUUCGUAUGUCACUGUAACAGGGAAUGAGAAAUAAUUAUUCGCGGCAUUCCCUUCUUACAAGGAGCAACAGUUUUGGUGAGUUAAAUUACAAGAUAUCUUCCAGUGACUGCAACCUGCUAUUGCAGUGGCAAAACUUGGAUCCAUGUGACCUUUUAACCCCCAAACCCCACCUUAAAUGUCAAUAUUACAUGUGACUUGCUAGAGGUUGAACAGUACCAUGUGUAGGAAUGUGGGUGGGAGGAUAUAAUUUUAAAGCAAAUUAACCACAUUUGCACUUCCCUGGCGUAUAUAUUGUCUGGAACACAAGCAGAUUCUCCACGUCUACAAAUUCAGUUGUGUUGUUUGGGAUCAAAAAAAAUGUGUACAAUAUGCACGCUUUGGGGGGGAAAUGCAUAGAAAAGACUAAAACGCAUGUUUUAGGACUAAAACACCUACAUAUUUUACAUAUUUUAAAGGGAAGUGAGUACAAAAAAGAUGUACAACUUAAAUGCGAUUUUUGUCUGUGCGAAGUGAGGUGAGAAUAUUCUCUACUGGAAAAUUCUCCGGAGAAUAUUCUCUACAAACUAUAAAUUCUGUGUCGUCUACACAGCUGUGUGAUGGCCUGGGAAUCAGAUUCGGAUGCUGAACCUGAGGAAUCCCAGCCUGCACAGGAGUCCCCACCUCCAGAACCAGCUGAGCCGGGGCUGGGGCAUGAGCCUGAAGGGUCCUCACCUGUGCUGGAUCUUCAGGUGCAGGCACCAGCUGAGUCUGCUCUGGCUCCUGAGGGGAUGGAGGACCCAUUGCCUGCAGGUGCUCCACCCUCAGCCCCGUCAGAGGAAGCUGAGGUUGCCUCUGGGUCCGGUAACCCUCCAGCCUCUCCUGAGCUGCAGAGGCUCAGGGCAGAGAGGCGGAGGGAACUAAGUUCCCGCAGGAGGAGUGCUCGCCUCCAGGCCAGGAGAGGCGAGUUACCAGAGGAUCAGGGCCACCCUAUGACUUGGGGAAGAUAAAAGCCAGCCAGUCCCAGUCCCAAGUUGUGGGAGCAACAUAGUUGGUUGUCAGUUCCAGCCUGAUCCCUGACCUGCUUCCCUGCCGGAGCUCCUGACCUCACCCGAUGCCCUGCCCUGCAACCAGCUUCAACUUCUACGGACUGCCUUCAUUUUGCACCCUCGACCUCAGACUGGACUCGGACCUCGCCUCUCGGUUAGCCCCCGGGACCAGCACAAGCUGCUUUAAAUGUACACACCUCAUUAAUAGAGAAUAUUCUUGAGAAAAGCUUAUUCUCAAGAAUUUAACAUCACUAGCGAUGUAAAAGCAAAACUACAGAAAACGGGACAGAACAGGUUUAUAACUGGAGACACGAAACAUGUGCAUGGAAUGGGAAUACCCUGAUGCACUUAUCUAUUCCUACCUCUAUAUUUUUUUUGGGGGGGGAAGGGUUAUACUACAUUUUUUCUGUCCUUGUUCCAAACUAGAAAUCAAGAUGGAAUUUGAAUUGGGCGGAACAUUGUGGGCAUAGCCAUGCUCUGUAUUUUAGAUGUCAUUGCCUCAUCAAGAACCACAAGUAGUUUUAUGCAUCAGCUAAUUUCCAUUCCUCCACAGUCUUACUCUGAUUAGAUCACUCUUCUUUCACAUCCAGGGAAUAAUGACUUCCAGUGGGCCUUUGUGCCUUAACCUGAAAUAUGAACUUACUCUUCCUGCCUGGAUUGUGAAAGGGCAGGCAUUAAACACUUUUUUUCUUCCUAAGACGGCUCAUAAAAGUACACCUACUGGCCUGCAGAAAGCUUUUGCAAGAACAAAGAGAAACGUGAAAGAAGCUUCUGAAUGGAAGUACUUGGGGGAAAAGAAGGUUCUUGUAAUUGCACGUGCAUUUGGACAUAAAUUAUCUUGACUCUUUUGGUGAUCUUCAAAGAAUUCUAGGGGGUCUCCACUAGGGAUAGGUGAAUCUGUCAGUUUCAGUUUCUGUACCAUUUUAUCAUUUCUUCCAAUCUUAAAUGCAGCUUUCCACAUUUCCACUUCAGUUUGCAAUUUUUAAAAAAUGUCAUCCUGAAAAUUCAUUCACAUUUUAGUGUGAAUUAAUCCUAUUAUACCCUUUUUUGUAUACUUUUUUGCCUAACACAGACAUUUUGGAAAAGCAUUUUCCAAUGAUGAUGAUGAUGAUGAUGAUGAUGAUGAUGAUGAUGUAGUAGUAGUAGUAGUAGUAGUAAAGGACCCCUGGAUGGUUAAGUUCAGCCAAAUUUGACUAUGGGGUGCAGCACUCACCUCCGCUUUCAGGCCGAGGGGGCCAGCGUUUGUCCUCAGACAGCUUUUCCGGGUCAUGUGUCCAGCAUGACGAAACUAUGGUGAGUGCUGGAGCGCAUGGAAACUCUGUUUACCUUCCUGCCACAGCGGUACCUAUUUAUCUACUCGUGCUUGUAUGCUUUCAAAUUGCUAGGUUGGAAGGAGUUGGGACAGAGCAACGGGAGCUCACCCUGUUGCGGGAAUUCAAACCGCCAACCUUCUGAUUGGCAAGCCCAAGAGGCUCAGUGGUUUAGACCAUGGCUCCACCCACUCUAAUAAUAAUAAUAAUAAUAAUAAUAAUAAUAAUAAUAAUGUGUUUGUAUGUGUUAUUUUCAACAAUAUAUGCAUUUUUAUGCACACAUCAUCCCUGCAUAUGAACUUUUGUAUGUAUGCAACAGAAGGCCUGUAAACCUCACCUGCUAGACGCUUUCCUCUCUCCACGGUAUCCUUGUUGUCAGUAGCAGACUGCAUGGUGGGACAGCAUCACUCACCUGACCUCCUUAUAGCUGAGUUCCUGCUGCUUACUGAUAAGAAGGGGAGGGGCUAAUGGAGGAGAGGUUGGUGUGGUGCAAACACACUGGCAGAUGCAGUGGACUGACUCCACCAUUGCAUGUGCACUGCGCUGGCCUCCUCGCCACUUUGGUAUUGAGCCACCUUCUCGUUGCACACAGCCAGCAGAAAAUUCAUUCAAGCAUCAUUGGGCAAAUGUCUUGAGGCCUAUUGGAUCCUUGUAUGCUUUUACUUUUCUUGCUCAUCAGGGAAAGCAGAGAACUGUAUAAAGACCCUAUGCAGUUCAAGCAUCAUCAUACCACACAGUUCACACCCACAACCAAAUCCUGGAAAUUGUCAUUUCUUAAGGGCGCUGAGGGGGGUGCAGGUGGCGCUGUGGGUUAAAGCACAGAGCCUAGGACUUGCUGAUCAGAAGGUCGGCGGUUCGAAUCCCCGCAAUGGGGUGAGCUCCUGUUGCUCAGUCCCUGCUCCUGCCAACCUAGCAGUUCAAAAGCACAUCAAGGUGCAAGUAGAUAAAUAGGUACCGCUGCGGUGGGAAGGUAAACGGCGUUUCCGUGUGCUGCUCUGGUUCACCAGAAGCAGCUUAGUCAUGCUAGGCACAUGACCCGGAAGCUGUACACUGGCUCCCUCGGCCAAUAAAGCGAGAUGAGCGCCACAACCCCAGAGUUGGUCAUGACUGGACCUAAUGGUCAGGGGUCCCUUUACCUUUGCCUUUAAAAUAACCAGGACCCAAGUUGUUGGGGCUUUGUAAAUAUAAGGAACUUAAACCAUGACUCAAUAGUGCAGUGGUGUCUCAUGUCAGGGGUCCCUUUACCUUUACCUUUUAAGGGCGCUGAGAAUCAUUGGGAGAUUCCUACUGCUCUCACAAAACUGCAGUUCCCAAAGCGGAUUAAUAACCAACCCCUCCUCCCAAGGAACCCUGAAAACUGCAGCUCUCUGAGGGUUAUUUCAGUCAUGGCUUCCUCCCAAAGAAUGACGUGAACUGAUAGCUGUGAGAUGUCCCAUAUUCUCCUCAUGGAGUUGCAAUUCCCAGAGGAGGUGGGCAGCCGGGUACAGUUGCCCCAGACCUCAGAGGGUUAAGCCGAUCAGGGCCCCCCACCAGAUACCGGCUGCUUUUUUUAGUUUAUAACUUUAUUCUAACAAGAUUCCUGCUCCGGACCUCAGAUAAGCUCCGCACGGGCAGUUGUCACCCUGGGAACUGUAGCAGUGUGAUAGGAAUGGAGAAGCCCUAACAAUUCCCAGCACCCAUAACAAACUACAGUUCCCGUGAAUAUUUAGGGGAAGCCAUGUAAAACAGCAUCAUAGUGCUUUAAAAGUAUAAUGUGUUCAGCAAGAGGACUAAAAAAAUUAAAAUAAAAUGUUUGGAGCUAUAAGCUCUUGACUUCUUUCCAAGCAAGAACCAAUUAGACUUGUCUAGUGAUCUCUAAAACAAGUUGACUUCAGGGAUGUCAUCACAGUCAGGCCUAGUGUUGUGGAAUUGGAAAAUUCCCCUUUUCUCACAGGGAAUUUCCUGCCCUCCAGGGUGAAUUCCAACGAAUCAUAAUAGUUACUUUUAAAUAUAAACCCUUUUCUCUCAUGGAGACUGAGAGGUAUUUGGCGUCUACACCCCCUUUUCCUGUUUUGUUCAGCCCUGGCCAUCUUGAUGAGAACAAUUGUUUCCUGCUUGGCAGGGGGUUGGACUCGAUGGCCCUUGUGGUCUCUUCCAACUCUAUGAUUCUAUGAUUCUAUUCUAUGAAUGCUGUCUGUUGCUACCCUGUUCACCUACAAGAGACCUUUCCCUGCUCUUCCCCUUAAUAGUUUCAGGCUCUUUCCUGGGAACCUUCCCCUUGCUGAUACAUGAGAAGUCAGGGCAAUGUAUUACAGGUCAGAUACUUUCCAUCAUCGAUGGCUGAAGCCAAGGGAUUAGCCUGAUGAUGGAUGGGACUACUACAGAAGCUGACUGUGUGGCUGUGUUUUCGCGACUGGGAUUUCAUAGAGAUUUCCCUCCCACCCCCCCAUGUGUCCUUUUCUUUCCCAUCCAUCAGCUCCCAAUUCCUCCCUCCCCCCCUCCAUCCCUCUUUAUAAGGUCUUGAGUAUCCUUUCGUAUAAGGGACGUGGGUGGCGCUGUGGGUUAAACCACAGAGCCUAGGGCUUGCCAAUCAGAAGGUCGGCGGUUCGAAUCCCCGCAACAGGGUGAGCUCCCGUUGCUCGGUCCCUGCUCCUGCCAACCUAGCAUUUUGAAAGCACGUCAAAGUGCAAGUAGAUAAAUAGGUACCGCUCCAGCGGGAAGGUAAACGGCGUUUCCGUGCGCUGCUCUGGUUCACCAGAGCAUGCUGGCCACAUGACCUGGAAGCUGUACGCCGGCUCCCUCGGCCAAUAAAGCGAGAUGAACGCUGCAACCCCAGAGUCGGUCACGACUGGACCUAAUGGUCAGGGGUCCCUUUACCUUUAUCCUUUUGUAUAAUGAAGAGUACGACACAAUAACAAACACAUGGUACUUGCAGUUGGCUAUCUGAAUAGUGGCCUUAGGACCCACCCUACUCCCAUGACUGAUUUUGUUUAAGCUGUUCUUAAUACUGCCUUUUCUAUUCCUGUGACUCACGCUGACACAGUGUGGGGCACAGGGUUGCUGCCCUGGGUGCAAAACUAUUGGGGGCACAAAUUUUCAACACCCGGUGCUGCCUCAAUACAGCUGCAUACUUCCAUUGCUGGGUUCCACUGAAAACAGCUUCUCCAUACGAACCAGGAAGUGGCCUCUCCAGACAACAGAGCAACUCUUAAUUUCUUAUCUCUGCAGCUGCAGUUUCCUGGGUGACAUGGAUGCUGUUAGGCAGUUGAAUGCGCAUGCGUACUCCAUCCAUUUCCUGGCAAUCCACACUACGCCAUUGCCCUGGCACCUUGGGUGAAGGGCAAGUAAUUAAUUAAAUUUAUAAUGCUAAUAAUGUGGAAUGUGGAUAUAAAAUUUACAGCAUGGUAUGGACUAAGAGAAAAUUAUAUGAAAAUGUUGUAUCGAUGGUACAUAAUACCGAGUAAAUUGGCAAAAAUGUUUAAAUCCAAAUCAAAUAAGUGUUGGAAAUGUAAAGAGAAAGAAGGUUCUUUUUAUCACAUGUGGCAGUCUUGUAGCAAUGUUAAAGCUUACUGGGAAAUGAUAUAUAAUGAAUUGAAAAAGAUGUUUAAAAUAAUGUUUGUAAAACAACAACAACAACCCAGAAGUUUGCCUUUUGAGGAUUAUAGGGACAGACUAUAAUCUGAGGAUUAUAGGGACAGACUAAACAUUUAUUCAUGUAUGUGACUGCAGCAGCAAGAAAGUUACUUGCCCAAAAAUGGGAAGAAGAAGAAGUCCCAGCAAAAGAAGAAUGGAUACAAAAACUUAUGGAAUAUGCAGAAAUGGCGAAACUUACUGAAAAAUAAGAAAUCAAGAUAACAAACUUUUUAUAAAAGAAUGGAAAUGAUUUAUUGAAUAUUUAUAAAUAAACUGUAAACUGAUAAGAACAUUGGUAGGAUUAUUCUAAGAACCUGCAGUUUUAUGAGAGUAUAUAUUUAAAGUAGAUGAAUAAAUGAGCAAACUAAGUUAAUUUGUAUAUGCAGAAAAUAUUAAAAAUACACUUAAGGAACUGUCGAAAAGUAUUGUGCUUAAAAUAAGAAAAUGGGUCAACAGCCAACAUUUGCUCCAUUUGGACUUUCUCCUCCCCAUUACAGAGCCAAUGGACCACUUGCAUUCCUCCCAUGCCAUGUGAUAACAGUACAGAGGGAGUUGCACUGGCUGGGGAUUAUCUUCUGAGCCAAGAUCUGGUCUACAAAGCCCUAAACAGCUAUCUGAGAGAUUGCAUACACUGUCAAGGUCACCGCAGUCCACAGAUGACGGCCUGCUGAUUCUAUAGCAUUCUCAGAGGUACAUCUGGUGGGAGGUGCAGAGGAGAGCUUUCCCCAUUGUCCCACCAUAGCAAGUGUCCAAUGAUUGAGGAAGAGCCAUAUGGAGGACCCUGAGACCCUGAAAGGUGAACGUGUUGGUCACAGGUAGUACCAAGCUACAGAGGCUGUUGUCAACAUAGGAAUGAGGUGGGUGUGGCCUUAGGUUUGCAGUACCCAAGUGGCUGCUCUUUAUGGCUGGUGCCAGCUUACUUUAGGAUUGAAAGGCAGACUUCCCCUGGUAAGAAUGGAUCAAGAAUGAACUAGGUCCAUGAAAACGCUGGCAGUAUUAAGAUAAAUUCAACAGUGUAAACAAGUUUUGAUGGAUGUAUUAAUGGAAUACUGAAUGGUUUAGUUUAUGUAAAAUAUGCAGGGAUUUAUGAUAUGCAAAUUGAACCAUUGAAAGAGAAGAAGGGAAGUCAUUGACAUUUUAAGGCUCUUUAAUGAAUAUUUUAAAUUGUAAAAUAGAAAGCUUAAUAAAAAUCACACACACACACACACACACACACACACACAAUAUGAGGAUGUACUAGACUCUGAGUUCCAACAGUGGGACAGACAGGAGUGAGGGAGAAAUUUGAUUCAGUUCUCACUCACUCAUUCAUUUAUUCAUUAUUAUUUAUUAAAUUUGUUUACUAUCCUAUACCCGUGGGUCUCAGGGUGGUUCACAAGAUAAAAUUACAAUACAAUACCUAAUCCAUACUUUCUGAAACAGUAUGCAAUCGUAUGCUUAGACAUUCGCAUGUCUCCAAAUUUUGCAAUCUGAACUUUUGCAAGUGAUGAGUGCAAAACUGCAUAUACUUGGGUAAAGUGUGCAUGAAAUUGCUUUGUAAGAACGUGUAUAUGAGGAGAAUGUUGCACUGAAAUGCUAAUGAAUUUUCAUGAGGACUUUGGAGGAGGGGGAACACCUAAAAGUGAUAUGCAAAUGUGGACGACUGAACUUAAGAUGGGGGGAAAGGGGGGAAACGAGAGAAAUCAAAAUUAACAGAUUUUGCCACUCUAGGACAGCCAUGCCAGGACUCAGGGCAUGGUCUGGCUAUGUGAAUUGUGGUGAAUUUAUCCCUCUGAAUAAUUGAACCAAUGUGCUGGUUAGAGUGUUGGACUAGGUAAAGGUAAAGGGACCCCUGACCAUUAGGUCCAGUCAUGGCCGACUCUGGGGUUGUGACGCUCAUCUUGCUUUAUUGGCUGAGGGAGCCGGCGUACAGCUUCCGGGUCAUGUGGCCAGCAUGACUCAAGCACUUCUGGCGAACCAGAACAGCGCACAGAAACACCAUUUACCUUCCCGCCGGAGUGGUACCUAUUUAUCUACUUGCACUUUGUGCUUUCAAACUGCUAGUUGGGAGGAGCAGGGACCGAGCAAUGGGAACUCACCCCGUCGCUGGGAUUCGAACUGCCAACCUUCUGAUCGGCAAGUCCUAGGCUCUGUGGUUUAACCCACAGCGUCACCCGCGUCCCUGUUGGACUAGGACAUGGGUUCAUAUCCGAAGGAAGCCAAGAAGCUCACUGGGGGACCUUGAGCCAUUCACGGUCUCUCAGCCUCACCUACCUCACAGGGUUGCUGUGAGAAUAAAACAGGAGGGGGGAGGGGACAAGCUGCAUGUCAGCUCAAGCUCCUUCCAGGUCACUUAUGAAUAUAAGUAAUAGCAGAAUUUUGUCCUAUUUAAGUCUUCUUUUCUUUUAAGCUCUCCUCCUAAGUUUAGGGAUGCCGUUCUCUUUCUUUUAAAUGGUAAAUCAACAAUAGAGAGUGUUCUUGCGGGGAGAAGAAAUGGCCUUUUUGAAAUGGGCGAGACAUACCCAUCAAAUCAAUACCUUUUGUCCAAUUCUAGCUUCUUCCAAGUUUUUUUUAAAAUAAAAAAUAAAUAAUAAUAGAAAUCACUUCUGCCAGGCAGACAAUGCCCUGAUUGUUCCGCAGAUGCAACUUCCCAGGUAACUUCUUCCAUUUCAGAUCUGUGCCUGCAUAAUUAAAACCCAAAGCUGAGUCCCUCCUCCCUUUUCCCCAUUCACCCUUUCUCUCCCUGAUUUCUCAUUAUGCUGCUUGAUGAGAUUUUUAAGCUUCGCAGAACACCGUCUAGGCCGCUAAUCCGAGGCAGAUCACAGACCCUUCUCCGGCCAUUCUUAUUGGGUUAAUCAAGGAAACCCAGUGAAGCAGGAGCCUUCUCAAAGCCUGCCAAAUUCAAAACCAUAGAUCAAAGUUCAGGGCCCUCUGACCUUUGUGCCCUGCAUUCGCCUCAGCACAGUUCCCAUGAAUGGCCUCUUUGUGAACAUGUCCUUGUGAGAGGAGGGUUGGUAUAUAUAUAUAUAUAUAUAUAUAUAUAUAUAUAUAUAUAUAUGCGCAUGCAUGCAAUUCUUUGGUCUUAGAAUUGGGCAGGGGAUGUGACGUGACUGAUAAAAUGCUUUUGCCCCUCUCUCUUCCUCAACCCCAGAAGUCUAAAAGGCUUGUGUGGUUCCCCCUCCCUCUCGGUUGCCUAUAGAAAUGCCCCCCAAUGGCCACAAUGGAAGUAAGGUGAUCAUUGUUCCUGUCAAGACUCAGCUCUGGGUUUUGUGAUGGAGUAUAAUUAAAUGGUUCAGGAGGCAGGAUUAGGAAAACGGCUGUGUGGGACACAGCAAAAGCUCGAUUUCCAUAUGGUCAGCCCAUAAAAGGCAACAUAGCAUUGCGCUCUAGAACAGACUAGAUUUAAGGCCUAUAUGAGGAUCCUUCCUCCCCUCUGUACAUCAUGCUCUAAAUUGUCUACCUAACCUGCGCUAUUUUUCAUUUGGUUUUCCUGAUGACUGAAUAUUUUAACCUACCUGUUUUAAAUAAUAAUAAUAAUAAUAAUAAUAAUAAUAAUAAUAGUAAUAGUAAUAAUAAUAGUAAUAAUAAUAAUAAUAAUAAUAAUAAUAAUAAUAGUAAUAAUAAUAAUAAUAUUUUAUUUAUACCCCGCCCUCCCUGGCCAGAGCUGGGCUCAGGGUGGCUAACACCAGUAAUAUUACAAUAAAAACAUAAUGGGGGGGGGACAAUUUAAAAUACAGGUUAAAAUGCAAUUUAAAAUGCAGCCUCAUUUUAAAAGUAGCUGAAAUAUCAAGACCAUAAGGGGAGGGUCAGACUGAGUCCAAACCAAAGGCCAGGCGGAACAGCUCUGUCUUUCAGGCCCUGCGGAAAGACAGUCCCACAGGGCCCUAGUCUCUUGUGAAAAGGCCCUGGCCCUAGUUGAGACCAAUCUAACCACCUUGUGGCUUGGGACCUCCAAAGUGUUGUCAUUUGUGGACCUUAAGGUCCUCCGCGGGGCAUACCAGGAGAGGCGGUCCCGUAGGCACGUGGUAUAGGGGUUUAAAGGUCAAAACCAGCACCUUUAAAGCCCUAUGCAGCCUAGGACCCAUGUACCUAGGGCUGGAUGAAUACCCUAACCAAUGAAAAAUGAUGGUGCCCUCCCUAUGUGAUUCAAAAUAAAAACAACACUAAACCAUAAAAAGAGAAAUAAAACAAAACAGAUUUAUUACGUCAUGGCCCGGAUAGCUCAGGUGGAUAAAUCAUGGUGCUGAUAAGACCAAGGCUGCAGGUUCAAUCCCUAUAUGAGACUGUUGCCUAUUCCUCCAUUGCAGGGGGUUGGACUACAAUAGAUGAUCCUUGUGGGCUCUCCCAACUGCAGUUCCACAAAUCUUACAAUUCUAACCCAUAAACCGUUCUGCCCGGACACUGAGGUCCAGCGCCGAAGGCCUUCUGGCGGUUCCCUCGCUGCGAGAAGCCAAGUUACAGGGAACCAGGCAGAGGGCCUUCUUGGUAGUGGCACCCGCCCUGUGGAACGCCCUCCCACCAGAUGUCAAAGAGAAAAAUAACUACCAAACUUUUAGAAGACAUCUAAAGGCAGCCCUGUUUAGGGAAGCUUUUAAUAUUUAAAAGAUUAUUGUAUUUUAGUGUUUUGUUGGAAGCCGCCCAGAGUGGCUGGGGAAACCCAGCCAGAUGGGUGGGGUACAAAUAAUAAAUUAUUAUUAUUUAUUAUUAUUAUAACAAGAUCUGAUUUCCUCACAUCAUUUCCAUCUACAUUAGUCGGAUGGUUCCUGGUUUAGGUGAGGAUAAGCAAUAAAAUAGGAACAGAAAGAUGGGGGAAGUUUGUGUACAGGUGGUUAAGGUAGUCUGUUGUCAUAGAUGUCAUAGAAUAGAAUAGUAGAGUUGGGACCACAAGGAUCAUCUAGUCCAACUCCCUGUAAUGCAGGAAUCUUUUGCCCAACAUGGGGCUCAAACCUAUGACCCUGUGGUUAAGUGUAUCAGGCUCUACCAACUGAGCUUUGAUCCUUUAUUUUUUUGUGAAAUAUCAAAUGUUAAAUUUAAAUCUGUGGUGCCCCUGCAUUAUGGUGCCGUAAGAACAUGCUUAGUUUGCCAGUUGGGUAAUCCAGCCCCGAACCUAUUCUCUUUUUGUUUCUUUCAUCAUCAACAGCAGCAGUGCAAUAAUGAAAUAACUAACGAUACGAUACGAUAAUCUUUAUUGUCAUUGUCCCAUACAGAAUAACAAAAUUGGGGGGGGGGGGAAUCUACAUAAGACAUUCAAAACCAACAAGCCUGCUAUCCUAGCUAUCCGAACCUGGUUAGCCCCCUAAAAACUCUGAUACCCCAUUUUAAAAAUACAGUCCACUCCCACAGAGACUCCUUAGGUAAAGGGUCCCCUGACCAUUAGGUCCAGUCGUGACCGACUCUGGGGUUGCGGCGCUCAUCUCACUUUAUUGGCCGAGGGAGCCGGCGUACAGCUUCCAGGUCAUGUGGCCAGCAUGACUAAGCUGCUUCUGGUGAACCAGAGCAGCGCACAGAAACACUGUUUACCUUCCCGCUGGAGUGGUACCUAUUUAUCUACUUGCACUUUGACGUGCUUUCGAACUGCUAGGUUGGCAGGAGCAGGGACUGAACAACGGGAGGUCACCCUGUCGCAGGGAUUCAAACCGCCGACCUUCUGAUCGGCAAGUCCUAGGCUCUGUGGUUUAACCCACAGCGCCACCGGCAUCCCAAGAGACUCCUUACACUGCAUUUAAAACCAAAAUCGUGUUUGGAUAGAAACUGUUUCUCAGGCGGCUAGUCCUAGUCUUUAUAACCCUGUACCUUCUUCCAGAAGGCAGAAGCUGAAAGAGAUCAUUUCCGGGGUGCACACUAUCCCGUGCUAUCUCUGCAGCUUAUUUAUAGCAUCUGGAAGCAUAGAUUUGAUCCACGGUGGGAAGAGUGCACCCAGUUAUUCUCUCCGCAGUCUUUACAACUCUGGACAGCAUUGUUUCCCCCCUGUUUAACUAUCAGAAGCUGGCAAGGCUGUGUCCUCUGGUUGGGAGGGGACUGAAGACAGUCCUGAAAGUCGUCGCCCCCUCCCCCCGGCAAAAGGACAGAGUCAAAGGCUCCUCUUCCUUUUGAAUCCAUUGCACAUCAUAUGGUCUCUGAGUCAUGGGUCAUGGCACUUGUGGAUAGCUCAGUUGGCUAGAGUGUGGUGCUGAAAACGCCAAGAUCGCAGGUUCGAUUCCCUUCUAGGGCAGCUGCAUAUUCCUGCAUUGCAGGGAGUUGGACUAGAUGAUCCUCAGGGUCCCUUCCAAAUCUACGAGUCUAUUCUAAUGGUGAGGAGGGCUGUAUACAGUACCUCAGGUUUCCAGAUACUCUUUAUUUUCAAGGUUAGGCUUUUUAUUUGUUUUGGAAGGUAUUGCAGUAUCUGAUAGUACUGAUUUAGUUUUUGUGUUCACUGGAAUUAUACUAUUGGUAAGAUUGCAAUCUGAUUAGAGUAUUUUUUAAAAUAUAAAAAUAUAAUAAUGUGAGUUUUAGUCAAUCAGAUUGGACUAUCAAUUAAACUUGCAUCUGGGUAAAACUAUUUCUGAACACACUUUGUUUUUAGAUUGUGAAAACAUGUAGUAGUAGGUUUUAUUCUAGAAAAUAUAGUCCUCCUCUGAGAGAAGCAGAACUCCUCUCUUAAGAUGAUGCUUACCUUGUAUUAAAACAUUUUUUAAAAACAUACCUGCUUAAUCUUGGGCACCUUUUUAGUUAAGUGUUUUUAAAAUCAGUGAUGCUAAGAAUACAAUAGAAAUGGCACUUUUCUGAUACGAAAAGGGAGGGAGUUGGUGCCACCACCAUAAAGGCCUUACUUUGGCAUUGUAUAGUACAGAAGGGAUGAAACAAUCUUUCUGCUGUCCUGAUCACAAGCUGUAUAGGGCUUUGUACACCAGGACCAGGACCAGCUUCUAGAAUGCAUUCUAGAACACUCUUCAAGACCAAAGGUAUUUAAAUGUUAAGGUCCAAAUAAAUCGGUAAGAGAUGUCCAAGCAGGAAAUGACCUGUUGGCUCAUAAUGAUAAAAUACGGUUAUGAGAAUGAGCCUUAGAUUUGUGCACUCCACACUUCUUACCUUUUCUAGAAAGGUAGUGGGAAGAUCAAAAGCAUGUGCUUCCAUUUUUCAUCAGCCAUAGCCUUCCCUGUUGACCAAACCCAGGCAAACUGUGACUAGUCUUGACCGUGGUUAGUUGAAACAAACCAAAUACAAACCAUAGUGUAUAAAGUUGCUGGUUAGUUUCAACAAACUCGGCCCUCCAGAUGUUUUUGGCCUACAACUCCCAUGAUCCCUAGCUAGCAGGACCAGUGGUCAGGGAUGAUGGGAAUUGUAGUCUCAAAACAUCUGGAGGGCCGAGUUUGAGGAAGCCUGCUUUAGAUUAACCAGAGAUUAGGGUCAAGAAGACACAAUCAACUGUGGUUUGUCUAAAGCAGAAGCAUACAUUUCCAAUCUUACACUUCGAACUUAGCUGUCUGAGCCAAGCAGAAUUUGUCAAUUUGCUUCUCGGAUAAGUAAAUGGCAUAAUGCUCCUUACUGGUUAUCUCCUCUUUCAGCUUUGGGGAUAUAUGCCUUUGCCUUCUGCCUGCAGAAUGCCCUGUCGAUAAAUCUGAGCAGAAUUUCUUGAAGUGUCACGCUGAUGGAUGGUGCCAUGGCAGAGGCUGCUCAGCCAGAGCAAAAGGGAGACUUGACCCAUUCAUCACUCUUCCUGUUGUCGAGGCUACCAGGCAGGUCCAGACUUGUCUAGGUCACUGUGCCACUAGGGGAAAAAUUAGGUCUCCCCACCACCACCACCACCAGGAUAUACAUAUUUCGGACAUAGAAUGUUUGGUACAUACACUCCAGCCUCUGUAUUCAGUUCAUUAACUUGGAAUCUUAUUAUGUGUGGUGGUAGCAAUUUUGAAUAAUAAGAAAAGAAAACAUUGGGACUGGAAUGCUAUGUUUUGCCUCUAUGGAAUAUUUCUGUGGCUGUCAUGAUCAUGAGCAAAGAAAGACUUCUGUCAUGAUCAUGAGCAAAGAAUGAUUUCUGAUGAUGCUUCUGAUUUGAAUUUUUAAGAGGCAGCUAUACGAAGAAUGAUUGAUGGUAAAUAGUAAUUGAUUUUAUAAUCAGCCAGUGUUACAAUUUUAGACUAGGACCUUGGAGACCAAGGGUAGGGAUGGCUGAAGCUGUGCAUUUCAAUUUCUCUCUGCUCCUCAUUUUUACAAUCUUAAAUUCCAGCUCUCCAAAUUUUCACAUCAGUUUGCGAAUUUUGCAAAAGUCAUUAUGAAAAUUCACUAGCAUCUUCUCCUAGUAUACACAAGUUUCCUAUGCAGUUUCUCCUAAUAUGCACACUUUUGCAAAGCAAUUUCUCCUAAUAUAAUACAGUUUUGUAAGUUAUUUUCACUGACAUUAGCAUUCUGAUGCAUUUUUUUAACACACUACUUGGGUGGACAGCUCCACUGCAAAAUUCAAAAAGAAGACUGUGUUUCAGUUCUCAUAUUGCUUUGGAAAGUUUGAAAAUUUUUACUCACCCUUCACUCCUCACUUUACUGCAAGACACGAUCAAGCCAUGAUUAACUAAUGGAUUCCAGAACAAGUCAGGAGAGUAAGCCAUGGUUUGAAGUUAGUUUAAGAUUAUUGCCUUCUCAAAAGUUAGUAACCAUGGUUUCCUUGUUGGGACAAAAUGGAAAACUAAUGUUAUUUAAGGGAUUCACAGUUUUAUCUUGUGAACCAUACACACACACAUAUAAUUUUAAGAAAAUUAAUCAUAGCAUACUCCAAUGGGUUCGGUGCAUGAGCAAAAGUUUCAAACAUACUGUAUUUCAGAUUAAUAAACUGUAGUGCAAUCAUCCAAACUGGGCUGUUGUAAACGGCUGAUAACAGCUUGCAGGACAAUAGUGCUUUUUCCAAUGUAAUGAACAAAGACCCACUUGGCUCUUAAAACUGUACAGAAGUUGGCUAUUUCACAGUUAAUGAAUACAGGAAAUGGCAGAUGGAGCACUGCCUUAUUGGGGUAGGGAGGGGGCAGGGAAUGCUGGGCAGUAAUUCUUGGCAUAAGAAUAGGGGUGUUAUAACUAAGUCCUCUUUCUGUUUCCCUAAGUCAAAUGACAUGAGAUGCAGCCAGUUCAACAGGGUUAGGAAACCCUAUAGAGGAGGAUUAGGAAGAAGGAGAGUCCUAAGUUUGGGGUGGUUACAAUUCUAUCCACCCUUCAUAGAUCACUGCCUUGCCAUGGCGAAGGGGCUUGAAUAACUCAGAGAAGUUUUCUUGGGAGAAAAGCAAUGACAAACCUAGACAGCAUCUUAAAAAGCAGAGACAUCACCUUGCCAACAAAGGUCCGUAUAGUUAAAGCUAUGGUUUUCCCCGUAGUGAUGUAUGGAAGUGAGAGCUGGACCAUAAAGAAGGCUGAUCGCCGAAGAAUUGAUGCUUUUGAAUUAUGGUGCUGGAGGAGACUCUUGAGAGUCCCAUGGAUUGCAAGAAGAUCAAACCUAUCCAUUCUUAAGGAAAUCAGCCCUGAGUGCUCACUGGAAGGACAGAUCCUGAAGCUGAGACUCCAAUACGUUGGCCACCUCAUGAGAAGAGAAGACUCCCUGGAAAAAACCCUGAUGUUGGGAAAGAUGGAGGGCACAAGGAGAAGGGGACGACAGAGGACGAGAUGGUUGGAUAGUGUUCUCGAAGCUACCAGCAUGAGUUUGACCAAACUGCGGGAGGCAGUGGAAGACAGGAGGGCCUGGCGUGCUCUGGUCCAUGGGGUCACGAAGAGUUGGACACGACUAAACAACAGCACAAUUCUAUCCCACCACCAUGUCCAGCAUGUCUCCUACAACUGUAUAACAAAUGAAAUUCAGCCCGGUGAAGUUAUAUCUUCUGAACAUCUACUCUUCUGGUGAAAAGAGAAAAAACAUUGAUGACCUCAGCAAGGUUUGGUUUGCCAUCCUUGUUCCAAAGGAAGUUUAUACAACUCCAAACAGCUUGCUCUGUAUGAAUCCAUGGCAUAUGGAAAAUGUUGAAGUGAGACAAUAAUGAUCUGGAGCGCUGAUGUUCUUAUAGGUUUGGACCCUGAAGGGCAACUGCUGAGUUAUCAGAGGCACAAUAAAUAUAAUCUAGGAGUGCAAUUUGCUUAGAUGGGGAUGGAAAGAAACACAUUAUCCCAAAGUGAUAUUUGCGAUAACAUCUCUAAUUUAAGAACAGAAUGGUGUGUUUCCUGGUGCUAAUUAAGCUGUUUCUGCACCCAAAUAAGAGGUGAAUUCUGGCACGGGUUGUAAGCCACAAUACCUACAAAUUAAUUAAAUUCAAUUAUCUGAACGGAUUAGCAAAAUGGCUCCGUUAGUACUCCUAAAAACGUUGCGCUUUCUCAAGGUAUGUAAUGCAAAGGACUCCCAAUGCCACGGAGUCUGUUUUGUUGUUUUUGCCUCCACCUCCUUUGAGCAAAACAGCAAUAAGACAAGAAUCGCCUCAAAGGGACACUUUGUGUUUGAGGGAGAACUACUGAUUGAUAGCAGAGGAAAUUUAAUAUGCUUUCGUUCUUUGUCUCUCUAUCUUUGUAGUGCAGCCAAGCUCUUAAAAAUAGUUAAUUACGGGUUCAAUGGAAAAUAUUUAGAUGACAGCUAUAUGCCUUCAUCCUCUCUGUGCCUAAUAACACUACAAAAUGCUCUUGUUCUUUCUAGUGUGUGUAUUAAGUGGAUAAGCAGAGCAAGUAAAAACAGAUCCCAGAUCCACUGGUCAAAGCAUAAGGAAGGAAGACUUAGGCGGGAGAGGCCUUGUUGUCUUCUGUUUUUCUCUGCACUGAAUCAAAAUGUAGGGCUGUUGUAAGAUUCAAGACAAGACAGACCCAAAAAGAGUUAAAUUAUAGAAUCCGUUCCUAUCCGAUGUGGGGAUGCCCAGCCACUUGAAGUCCCCAGGACUUCGAAAGGCAGAAUUGAUAUCCAGAGGGAAUUUCUGAAAGGUGCUGUUUUGACAAUUGAAAAUUCGUGGGAGUUUUGGCAGUUGUUUGUUUUUUUAAAAAAGCUUUUUAGACAAAUUUUGGGGUUUUCGUAAAGAAAGCUCAACAACUUGAAAUAUGGCAACCCUACACUUGGCUAGCUUUAAAAGAGCAUUGGAAAUGGAAGAUAAGGCUAUCAGUGGCUUCAGUGGCUAUGUUCUCCCUCCACUAUUGGAGAUGAUGAUGAAAACAAUGACAACAACAACAACAACAACAACAACAACAACAAUUUAUACCCCGCCCGUCUUGGUGGGUCUCCCCAGCCACUCUGGGCAGCUUCCAACAAAAGACUAGAAAUACAUUAAAACAUCAGUCAUAAAAAACUUCCCUAAACAGGGCUGCCUUCAGAUGUCUUCUAAACGUCUGAUGGGAGGGUAUUCCACAGGGCGGGCACCACUACCGAGAAUGCCCUCUUGCUGGUUCCCUGUAACUUUGCUUCUCGCACUGAGGGAACUGCCAGAAGGCCCUCGGAGCUGGACCUCCAUGUCUGGGCUGAACGAUGGGGGUGAAGACGCUCCUUCCGGUAUACUGGGUUGAGGCCAUUUAGGUCUUUAAAGGUCAGCACCAGCACUUUGAAUUGUGCUUGGAAAUGUACUGGGAGCCAUUGUAGGUGUUUCAAGACUGGUGCUGUGUGGUCUCAGUGGCUGCUCCCAGUCACAAGUCUAGCUGCUGCAUUCUGGAUUAUUUCUAGUUUCCGGGUCACCUUCAAAGGUAGCCCCACGUAGAGAGCAUUGCAGUAGCCCAAGUGGGAGACACUAUAACCUCUGAAUUCCUGUUGUUGGGAACCCCAAGUAGAGAGAGUGCUGUUGUGCCCGGGUCCUGCUAAAUUCCCUGUGGAGAGGGAUUGAGUGUUAAAUCAUUUGUAGCAUACCCUCCAAGAUUUCUCCAGUGAAAACAGGGACAUCCUAUUCCAUAACAAUAACGAUAACACUGGGCAACAAUUUUUUACUUUUUGAAUGUUGUCUAGAUUUCUACAACUGAUUUAGGGUAUUUUUGCACUGCUGAAUCAGGAAAUGGCAUCCGUUUCUCUCCAUCAGGUCAGGUUUACUGUAAACUGAAUGGUGGGCAUUGAUAAAGGUAAGUACACGUAAAUUGCAUGUUGCUUCACCAUUUUUCAAACUUCAGGGCUUGAACUUCCGUUUCUUGGAACUCCUGGAAUGCUCAGCGGCAGGGAGGUCUCUCUUCAGAGUCCAACAGUAGUCAGCCAUCAUGACUGCGUCCCAGCGACCCUGAUACCUGGUCUCCAUCUCUUUCAUGUCCUGAUGGAAUCUCUCCCCCUGCUCGUCACUCAUUGAACCCAGGUUCUCAGGAAACCAGUCCAUAUGUGAAAAUAGGUAGUGCAUCUUGACGCUCAUGUUGCAGCCCAGGUUUCUGAAAGCAGUCAGCAUGUUGUUGACAAGUUCUGCGUAGUUUCUGGCCUUAUUGUUGCCAAGAAAGUUCUUCACUACCAGAACAAAUGCCUUCCACGCUUCCAGUUCCACUUCGUUCAUUGAGUUUCCGAACUCUGGAUCUCUGAUGAGCUGACGGAUCUGAGGACCGUCAAAGAUGCCAGCUUUCAACUUCUCCAUGGUCAAUCCUGGAAAAGCCUGGCACAAGUAAGUGAAGCAGUCACCAUCCUUGUCCAGAGCCUUGGUGAACUGCUUGAUUAAGCCGAGCUUGAUGUGCAGCGGUGGGAAGAGUAUUCUGUCUCUGUCCACCAGAGGGUCGUUGAUGACGUUCCUUUCUUUGCAAGGCACCAAUUCCUCCCGCACAGGCCAGUCCUUCUUCGUGUAAUGCUGAGCACGGUCCCUACUAUCCCACAUGCACAGAAAACAUGGGUACUUGGUGAAGCCAGACUGUUGUCCCAACAAAAAGUUCACCAUCUUCAGGUCAACACAAAUAAACCACUUAUGCUGAUCAUAACCAAUUUUCUCCAGCACAUACUUCACCGCUUCAUAGUUCUCCUUCAGUGUACUCGAGUGAGCCAGGGGUAUAGAGGCAAACUGGUUGCCGUUGUGUAGCAGAACACAUUUCAGUGAUCGCUUGCUGCUGUCAAUGAACAGUCUCCAAUCUUUGGGUUCGUACUGUGGCACUCCAAGCUUGAGCAGAAGCUGCGCAAUAUCUGCACAGUACACCAAGUCCUUCUCUUCCGAGAAAAAACGGAGGUACUCUUGAUGCCUGUUGAGGAAGAAGCUGAUGCGAGCACUGUCAGAGAGGAGGUUUUUUUCCUUCAAUCUGGAUGCCAACAGUUCGGCAGAGUCCUUUGACAAGCUGAGGUCGCGAACUAGAUCAUUCAACUCCUUUUGGGAAAAUGGAUGUGGAGCAUCAUCUUCAAGAACCACUUCUUCUUCUUCAUGUCCUUCAACACUGGAGGCAUCUUCGUCACUAAUGUCAGGAAGUUCUCCGAAGAUAGGCACUGGAAUUUCAUCACAAUGAGCUACAGGACGACGUGCUGAUUGAAGAUCAGGAUACUUCGUGGGGCGGCUGCCCCAUUAACUUAGUUUUGAUCCCCCAACUUUAUGCUUUGCCGCACCAAUUUAUGGAAGAUUUCGAGGUUUUAUGACUUCAAACUGAUCCCUUUUCGACAUAAUCACCCAGAACUAUCGGACCUGAAUACUUCUUGUCAUUAAAAUAAUCAUUUCCAAUCAAAACAAUUAUUCGACAUGGCAUUUUACCCCCACCAACUUCUUCUAAAAUGCUCCACACAAGCGUACAUGUGAACAAAAACGUAAAAAAGACAUGUGGCCAUAGCUCAAAAACUUGACCUGAUUGAGCAAAACCAAUGUGAUUUUUUGAUUCAGCGCAUCAGAUUCGUCCUAAAUCAACUGAAAAAAUGCAGACAACAAAUUUGUUGUUGACCAGUGUAAUUUUAUCAUUUAUACCCUGCCCAUCUGAUUGGGUUUCCCCAGCCACUCUGGACGGAUUGCAACACAUAUGAAAAUAUAAUAAAACAUUAAACAUUAAACCUUCCCUAUACAAGGCUGUCUUCAGGUGUCUCCUAAAUGUUGCCUAGUUACUUAUCUCCUCGGCUUGGGGACGUCCUAAGGAAACGUAGGACAUUCUGGGAUCAAAUCAGAAACUGGGACGGCUUCUGUAAAUCCAGGACUGUCCCUGGAAAAUAGGAACACCGGUGGGUCUGUUAUAGCUCUGUGAAGGGAAUUGGGACCUCCUAACAACCUUCAGCUCCCUUAACAAAUUGCAGCUCCCAUAAUUCUCUGGGAGAAGAAGCCAUGGCUGUUUAAAAGGGCGUCAUAGUGCUUUAGAUGGAUGGGAUGAAUAUGGCCUUGGCCUCUGACUUCACCCGUAGCCCCUCCCUUGUAACGUGUCUGGCUUAGAGGCGCCUGUCCAAUAUACCACGGGCCACAUAUAUUCUGCUCUGCCUUCAGCACAGCGCUGCAUUGCUUGCUGCAUGCUCUAGCUAGCUCUGCUCAAUGCGGCUGGCUUCAGGCAGAGGAACAGCUGGCGAGAAUUACUUUCCUCCAGGCUUUCACGCAGGCUUUUAACAACGGCUUUCUGGCAAGGGAAAGGGGACCGGGUUCCACUCCGCAGGCAGAGAAGAUGCUGACACGGCUAAUUCUCUUCCUUUCGUGGCUUUGGGAGCCUCUUGCCAAAUGGCCGGCGUGUUGCGAAACCCAGUGCUGCGUGCCGGGAGGAAAUGACUCCUCUGCAGCCUUAGGGUUGAUGUGGAUUAAUGGGAGGUUUUCUAGGGACAGCAGAGAUUACUUUUGAAGUGAUGGUGCAAGGCAGAUUCUGCCCAGGUCAGGAAGUGGUUUCAUAUCUCUCUCUUUCUCUCUCUCUGUGUGUGUGUUUGACAGAAAAUGUACCAACAACAGAUGUGGUUUGUAUACCCUCCAACAUUUCUCCAACGAAAAUAGGGAAGUCCUAUUUAAUAAUAAUUUUCAAUAAGAAUACAUAUACCCCAGCUAUCUGACUGUGUUGCCCCAGCCACUCCAGAUGGCUUCCAUCAUACAUAGGUAAAGGGACCCCUGACCAUUAGGUCCAGUCGCGGACGACUCUGGGGUUGCGGCGCUCAUCUCACUUUAUUGGCCGAGGGAGCCGGCGUACAGCUUCCGGGUCGUGUGGCCAGCAUGACUAAGCUGCUUCUGGCAAACCUGAGCAGCGCACGGAAACACAGUUUACCUUCCCACUGGAGUGGUACCUAUUUAUCUACUUGCACUGGCGUGCUUUCAAACUGCUAGGUUGGCAGGAGCAGGGAGUGAGCAACAGGAACUCACCCCGUCGCGGGGAUUCGAACCACCGACCUUCUGAUCGGCAAGCCCUACACUCAGUGGUUUAGACCACAGCACCACCCGCGUCCCGAUACAUCAGCUACAACAUCAUAAAAAAGAGGGGGGAGUAUAGAUUUGCAUAAAAUUUGCAUGCUAAGAUGCCAAUUCAGGAAGCAUGAGUAUAACUUAAACAGAAAUACAAGACAUCUCACCUUGUGGGGAAGUCUCAGGUGAGGGGACCUAUGGGUCUGCUCAGUCUAAGAACGUAAGAAGAGCGUGCUGGAUCAGGCCAGUGUCCUAUCUAGUACAGCAUCCUGUUCUCACAUUGGCCAAGCUGUUACCUGUUCGCUAAACUUUGGGGCACCCUGUGAGAAAAGUUACUAGCAAAUACAACAAAUAAACUGUGAACGGGCCCAUCACCAGCUGAUUGUAGUCACUAAAGGUUCAGGUUAAGACCAAUCUGUUUAUUUCGGUUUCUCUCAGUUUCUCAUGGGGGAAAAAAUCACUAGCAUUUUACCAAAUAUCCACAAGAAAGACUGGGCACACUUGGCUGAAGAUGAGUGCACAUUUGAACCCAAAAUUUUGAGCCCAGGUUUGUGAUAACUGCCCCAUAUAGGUUUCAUGUUUUGUUCUUUAUUUUAGUUAUGUAUAUCAUUACUCUGAGGGACGCAGGUGGCGUUGUGGGUUAAACCACAGAGCCUAGGACUUGCCGAUCAGAAUUUCGGCGGUUCGAAUCCCCGCGAUGGGGUGAGCUCCCGUUUCUCGGUCCCUGCCCCUGCCAACCUAGCAGUUCGAAAGCAUGUCAAAGUGCAAGUAGAUAAAUAGGUACUGCUCCGGCGGGAAGGUAAACAGUGUUUCCGUGCGCUGCUCUGGUUCACCAGAAGCGGCUUAGUCAUGCUGGCCACAUGACCCGGAGCUGUACGCCAGCUCCCUUGGCCAAUAAAGCGAGAUGAGCGCCACAACCCCACAGUCGGUCACGACUGGACCUAAUGGUCAGGGGUCCCUUUACCUUUAUCAUUACUUUAAAAAACAUUUCCCCCCUCCAAAGCGACUCGAAAAUAAAAGAGAAACAGCCAUAAAACACAAUUAAAACCAUAUCAAAGAAUUUAAAAAUGCCUCAGCACAAAAUGUUCCACAAACUCGUAAAAAAACCAAACCCUUGCAAAAUAAGGUUUUGCACAGAGAUUACUGUAAACCAUCUCGUGAGUUUGUCAGACCAAAAGGCGGGCCUUAGAAUUAGUAGAUAAAUUACACUGUAUAAUAUAUUCUGACAUACCAGUUGAGAAGUUAGAAAACUCUGAAGGUUUCAAGUGAGUCUCCAACCCUCUCACUCCCCGUUAAAGUACCCAACAAUAUUCGUUGCCAAGUUAGCCGGAAAGUCAAAGUUAGUAAGCCCAGGAGCUGCUGAAAUAAAAAGCGCAGCAUUUGAACUUCAUGAUCUGAUUCAAAACAGGACUUUGUUGCUCCUCCUGUCUAUAGAAGAAUAUGUAAGGUGAGGGAAGCCUGAGGCUGGCUGAUGCAUUUGAGUGAAGGGGGACAACAGAAGGAAGAAAGGAAGGGGGGAAGGGGGAAGGGGAAUUGGGGGACACAUUGAACAUCAAACAGCUGAAAACAUCCCUUUGAUCAGUAAGGGUAGGGAAAAAACACUUUGUGGGGUGGUUGGAAAAGAAAAGGUCUUGGUGGAGAGUACUGUUCAACCACUACUGUACAUUCACAGAGCUGUCUUGCCUUCUCUCUCUUAGGCAAUGUUUUCAAAGUUGGUUUUUUUAAAAAAAAGAAAAGAUGAAGACAUAAUCAGCAAAUAUAUUAGUUUUGGGUUUUUUGGCAUCCUUUUCUCUCUGUUGCAAGACUAUCUGCAACAUGGGUGUCUUUAGUCUGUCUUUUUUGGUAGUAUCAUUGAAAUGAACGGAUCCAAGUUAGUCAUGCGCAUUCAUUACAAUGGGUCAUACUUUGGCAGAAUACAAUUUUGUUGUAUUUUGCAUUAGUGGAAGGUUUUUACCGGGCAGUCCAUACACAGGGCAGUAGCUAGUGGGUGGUGAGGUGGGCCACCGUCAGGGGUGAAGGCGAUUGGGGGGCACAAAAUCGGCUUAAAAAUAUGUCCAUAAAUAUAAAUAUCGAUUAUUGCCUCAUAAACAAUGGUUUUAAAUAGAGGAUGAAUUGAAUGGGUGGGGGGGGGGUUGGAAGAGAGGCAGAAAGAAGAGCUAAUUUGUGGCUAGGGAGCGCAAUCUGGACAGUUCUGCCAGGUUAGACACCUAGCUACGGCUCUUUCCAUACACCACUUUUUUAUUUCUUAGUUGUUUGUCAAUGCUUCUCCGAUUGAGGAAGGGCCAUCACGCAGUGGCAGAGCAUGCAGGAGGUCCCAAGUUGAAUGCCUUGGCAUAUCCAGGUAGAUAGAUGCUCACCUGAAACACUUCAUUGGCUCCCAGUACGUUUCCGAGCGCAAUCCAAAGUGUUGGUGCUGACCUUUAAAGCCCUAAACGGCCUCGGCCCAGUAUACCUGAUGCUCAGAGGGCCUUCUGGCAGUUCCCUUGCUGCGAGAAGUGAGGUCACAGGGAACCAGGCAGAGGGCCUUCUUGGUAGUGGCGCCUGCCCUGUGGAACACUGUAUUGUUUUUAAUAUUUGGUUGGAAGCUGCCCAGAGUGGCUGGGGAAACCCAGCCAGAUGGGCGGGGUAUAAACAAUAAAUUAUUUAUUUAUUUAUUUAUUUAUUUAUUUAUUUAUUUAUUUUAUUGAGGACACUAACAUAAAUGGACCGCUGGUCAGUAAAAGGCAGCUUCCUAUGAUGUGUGUUAGGGGGGGGCCCUUCAGACUCCCCAACCUUGCAAGUACAUACAGUGGUACCUCGGGUUAAGUACUUAAUUCAUUCCGGAGGUCCGUUCUUAACCUGAAACUGUUCUUAACCUGAAGCACCACUUUAGCUAAUGGGGCCUCCCGCUGCCGCCGUGCCGCUGGAGCACCAUUUCUGUUCUCAUCCUGAAGCAAAGUUCUUAACCCGAGGUACUAUUUCUGGGUUAGUGGAAUCUGUAACCUGUACAGAUGUAACCUGAAGCGUAUGUAACCCGAGGUACCACUGUAGUUGUAUCUGCAACGUGUCAUUAAUGCAAGAACAUCUGUGGUGUAGAAAAUUUCAGGAUUUCAGCGAGAAGUCACAGGACAUGCUCUGACUGGAGACAAAGCAACAGGCCUGGCUCUACGGUUUUGCAGAUGUGACAGUAUUGGAAGCAGGAACCUGUGAAACCAACCCAAUACUUCCGUAAGCCCAGGCCACCGUGAAACAAUUGCAGCCAAAGAACCAAACCCAAAAUGAUCCAUGGGACAGAGAGACCUCCCUUUAAAGUAAGGUUGAAGCACUGAGGAUUUUUUAGUUUAGAGAAAAGGUGGUGAUGAUGAUGUAUGUUCCACCCAUCUGGCUGGAUUUUCCCAGCCACUCUGGGCAGCUUCCAGCACAUAUAAAAACAUAGUAAAAUGCCAGAGAUUAAAAACUUCCCAAUACAGGGGAGCCUUCAGUUGUCUUCUGAAAGCUGCGUCGUUCUUUAUUUUGGUCGCCCAAAAAUUUAUGCAGCAUGAGCUGAGCUUCUCUUUAAAACCAUUUUUUGAACACACAAAAAUACACUUUCCUUAAACGAGACUUUCCUUAAGUUCACUGAAAUCUGCCACCUCGUCCCACCCCUCAAUCAUUUUCAAAAGCUAUUUCUUUUCUCAUUAAUUGAUAGAGAAUAUGUGUGUGAAUGUUAUUUUUUUUAAAAAAAAAAAGUGGGAGAAAUUUUAUCGUGAGCUGUUAGGGACAGGCAGAUCUGUUGAUUUCAGUUUCUCAUUUCUUCCAGUCCUAAAUUCUAUUCUCCACAUUUCCACAUCAGUUUGUGUUAUUUUAAUUAAAAAAAUGCCUGUGGAAAUCCGUCAGCAUUUUCAUGUGGAUUUCUCAGAAUAUAAACAGAUUGGUAUGCAAUUUUGCCUAAAACACAUAUUUUUGCAAAGCAAUUUCCCUUAAUAGAAAGCAUUUCUGAAUGUUACUUUCUUUCUACUUUCUACUUUCUUUCUCACUCUGGUGUAUGUAUUUUUGUACACAUUUCUUGGCUGGAGAAUCGAACUGCAAAAUCAGAAUAUGUGCGCAUUUUGAAGGAGGGCUGUGUUUCCAGUGGAUUUCGUUUUGUUUGGAAAGGGAGAAUUGGGUAGGUUUGCCUUUAAAUGUGAACUAAAUCAAAUUGUCCUCCCAUCCCUUCUCUCUCUCUCUCUCUCUCCUUUCCCCUCUUCCCCCAAAUUCACCGCAAGCCCACAAUAUUUUUAUAAAACUGCUGACUAAUUCAAGACGUUUUACAGAUUUUUGUCUUUCGCUACGCAACUUAUUGUAAAAACAAAUUUUAAAGGAAGCUUAAGUAGGGGGCAGCGGGUGGUUUUUUGCAUCGCAGCGAGGGGGACGAAGAAGGCCCACUCCCCCCUGACAGAAUUGUUCCAGCAUUGUUUGUCAGUAGGAGAGAGAGAGAGAAAUGGAGAGGGAAGGGAUGUAACAGCGGCUAGACAGACCAUUAAAUUGGUAUUAAACACUUUUCCAUGUGAGGGAAGUCUCCUUCUGCCAAAAGCCCAGAGUAGGCAGAUCGCUUUCCAUUCAAGCACUGCUGAGAUGGGGCUAGAUAAACUUUGAAAAAUUAAAAGGCGACCAGGGGUCAAAGCACAGACUGGAGACCUUGUCUGGCUGGCUUCCUUAUAAACUCACAGAGAAUUGGCUUGCCCCACUUGCAUGACGUCCUCCUGCAUAAACAUUCAAUCUUCCUGACCAGUUUGUUCCAGUGCUUAACGUGGGAGGGGUGGGAGAGAGCGGGGGAAUACAUAAAACCAACCCAAGCUGUUUUAUAUCAGUUUUCACCAUGCAGAACCCACAAAAGGAUUCCUGUACUAUAUCCAAAAAAAGGGGGGAGGGGGGCAGGAAUGGAAAGAGGUUUCGCUGCCAAACUGCAUGCAUGUUUUCACUUCUUUUGCAGCUCUUUCCAACAGGGGGAUUCCUCUGAAAUUAUGCCCAGGCAAGACAAUGCUACUCUGUAGAUCGACAUCCAUUCCCCCCAAAGCAAAGCAAAGCCACAAAAUCAUAGAACUGCAGAGCUGGAAGGGACCCUGAGAAUCAUCUACAGUGGUACCUCGGGUUAAGAACUUAAUUCGUUCUGGAGGUCUGUUCUUAACCUGAAACUGUUCUUAACCUGAGAUACCACUUUAGCUAAUGGGGCCUGCCACUGCCACUGCGCCACCACAGCGCGAUUUCUAUUCUUAUCCUGAAGCAAAGUUCUUAACCUGAGGUACUACGGCAUGCUCUAGUUAUCUCCCGCUUGGACUACUGCAAUGCGCUCUACGUGGGGCUACCUUUGAAGGUGACCCGGAAACUGCAAUUAAUCCAAAAUGCGGCAACUAGACUGGUGACUGGGAGUAGCUGCCGGGACCACAUAACACUGGUCCUGAGAGAUCUUCAUUGGCUCCCAGUACGUUUCCGAGCACAAUUCAAAGUGUUAGUGCUGACCUUUAAAGCCCUAAACGGCCUCGGUCCUGUAUACCUGAAGGAGCGUCUCCACCCCCAUCGUUCAGCCCGGACAUUGAGAUCCAGCGCCGAGGGCCUUCUGGCGGUUCCCUCAUUGCGAGAAGUGAGGUUACAGGGAACCAGACAGAGGGCCUUAUCGGUAGUGGCACCCACCCUGUGGAACACCCUCCCUUCAGAAGUGAAGGAAAUAAGCAGCUGUCCUAUCUUUAAAAGAUAUCUGAAGGGAAGUUUUUAAUAUUUAAUGCUGUACUGUUUUUAACAUUUGAUUGGGAGCCACCCAGAGUGGCUGGGGAAACUCAGCCAGAUGGGCGGGGUAUAAAUAAUAAAUUAUUAUUAUUAUUAUUAUUAUUAUUAUUAUUACUAUUUCUGGGUUAGCGGAGUCUGUAACCUGAAGCGUCUGUAACCUGAGGUACCACUGUAGUCCAACCCGCUACAAUGCAGGAAUAUGCAACUGUCCCUUACGGGGCUCGAACUUGCAAUCUUGGUAUUACAAGCACCACGGUUUAACUAACUGAGCUACCCAGGCAGACAAGGCUCCUUCUUGCCGGCUAGCAAUAAUUGUUAAAAAACCCUCUUGGACCUUCGCCUGCAGGUUCUUCUGGACUUGGGCUUAAUAUGCAACUACACCACUGAGAAGUCAUAAACAAGUUGUGUCACAGCCCAUGCUAGUCCUACUCAGAGUAGACCCAUUGACAUCAAUGGACACAACUAACUUUGGUUUCCCAUUGUUGACAGUGGGAUUGGAUUUUCCCUGGAAAAGGUAAAUUACUAUUAAUCUGGAGAAGGGGGAACAGAGGCUGGCAUUUUGAUACCAGCCAUGUCAUGUGGAGGUUGUUAAAGAAACUGCUGGGAUAGUCCAGUUGGUACAGCACGAGACUCUUAAUCUCAGGUCAUGAGUUCGAGUCCCACAUUGGGCAAAAGAUUCCUGCAUUGCAGGAGGUUGGACUACUGCAAUGUGCUCUACCUUUGAAGGUGACCCGGAAACUACAACUAAUCCAGAAUGCGGCAGCAAGACUGGUGACUGGGAGCGGCUGCUGAGACCACAUAACAACGGUCCUGAAAGACCUACAUUGGCUCCCAGUACAUUUCCGAGCACAAUUCAAAGUGUUGGUGCUGACCUUUAAAGCCCUAAAUGGCCUCGGUCCAGUAUACCUGAAGGAGCAUCUUUACCCCCAUCGUUCAGCCCGGACACUGAGGUCCAGCGCUAAGGGCCUUCUGGCGGUUCCCUCACUGUGAGAAGUGAGGUUACAGGGAACCAGGCAGAGGGCCUUCUUGGUAGUGGCGCCCACCCUGUGGAAUGCCCUCCCACCAGAUGUCAAAGAGAUAAACAACUACCUGACAUUUAGAAGACAUCUGAAGGCAGCCCUGUUCAGGAAAGUUUUUAAUGUGUGAAAUUUUAAUGUAUUUUUAAUCUUUGUUGGAAGCUGCCCAGAGUGGCUGGGGAAGCCCAGCUGGAUGGGCGGGGUACAAAUAAUAAAUUAUUAUUAUUAUUGCAAUAGAUGACCCCCAGUGGUCCCUUCCAACUCUACAAUUCUACAAUUCUGUCUCACAAUAAACUCCCACCUAGAUAUACCCUCCUUCUCUGGCUUCAUUCUAACUCCUUCUCUCUAGCCCCGCUGCCAACCAUGCUGGUGGGGAGGUAUUGACUAGCUAGUAGCCACCAGCCAUAAGUGCUCAGUGUAGCAACUGUCAGCCCCAAUUUAAAGAAAUGUCUUCCGGUGACCAGCUGUGUGAAAACGUCUAGAGAUGCUUACCUCUUUACUGGAUGUAAUUUGCUGAGUUCCUCUUUGAGCCUAAAUCCAAUAUAUAUAUAUAUUUAAAUAGUUUUUAUUAACCGACCAAUCGAAUCAAAUCACAUCACAUCACAUAAAUUCCGAAUUACAAAGAUGAUUUUUUAAAUUUUGUUGAGGGGACCCAUAUUUCAAGAUCCGAAGGGGGAUGCUGAUCGUCUUCUUGCUACUGCGUUAAUAUCCAAAUCAGUCCAAACAAAGUUCAUAAUUCUAUCCAGUCUUAUCUUGCUGUUUCCACAUCUCAUCUUGUUCGUAUAUUUUCUCUUUUUUCUUUAUGAUCUCUUCUGAUAAUCUCCUUAAGCCGAUAAACACCAGAGCCUAAAUCCAAUAUAGAGGGGAGGGGGAGAGAGAUUGUUAGAGGCCACAUUUCAAACCCUAAUUAAAAUUAAAUAUUCAGCACCUGGUGAAAUACCUCAGGGCAAGAUAAGGAGAGUCUGCCUUAAUUUUGCUGCCAAGAUUUGAACGUAGGGCUGGGUUGUUAGCAGCGAAAGCGGCCGUCAUGGUGCAAGGUGCAGCUACUGCCAAUUUUGUCGUGUCCCCCCCCCCCCGAAUGUUAGCAGCCUUGUGGCUGUUUCUCGGAUCUAUACAUUAUUGUUAAAGAGCUCAUGCGCGCGCACACAUGCAUGGAAUUCCCCAUGAGAGGCUGCAGGAACUUCACCCCUGUUGCUGCCUUUGUGGCAAGUCAUUCACAGUGGACUAUCUACAUCAUGGGUAGGCAAACUAAGGCCUGGGGCCCGGAUCCGGCCCAAUCACCUUCUAAAUCCGCCCUGUGGACGAUCCGGGAAUCAGUGUUUUUACAUGAGUAGAAUGUGUCCUUUUAUUUAAAAUGCAUCUCCCGGUUAUUUGUGGGGCAUACGAAUUCAUUCUUUUUUUCUUCAAAAUAUAGUCCAGCCCCCCGCAAGGUCUGAGGGACAGUGGACCGCCCCCCUGCUGAAAAAGUAUGUCUACAUUAUAUCCUCCCCUUGCUAUGUGGGAGUAGAAUCUUGCAAAACAGAAGCUCAAAAAUGUUGGAUAUAAGCUACCUUGCAUGCCUCCAUUCAGGGCCGGAUUUAGGUUUGAUGAGGCCCUAAGCUACUGAAGGUAAUGGGGCCCUUUACAUGUCCAGCUGUCCUUUGUCAACAACAAAUUGUCACUGGGUUUUGGGUUGAAUAUAUUCUAUGUGGUAAUUUAUGGACCUAAUAGGUAUCUAAAGCCAUUUGCACAUGCAGAAUGCAGGCACCCUAUACAGUGGUAAAGGUAAAGGUACCUCUGCCCGUACGGGCCAGUCGUGUCCGACUCUAGGGUUGCGCGAUCAUCUCACUCAAGAGGCCAGGAGCCAGCACUGUCCGGAGACACUUCCGGGUCACGUGGCCAGUGUGACUAAGCGGCAUCUGGCGAGCCAGCACCAGCACCACACACGGAAACGCCGUUUACCUUCCCGCUAUAAAGCGGUACCUAUUUAUCUACUUGCACUUAGGGGUGCUUUCAAAUUGCUAGGUCGACAGGAGCCGGGACCGAACGACAGGAGCUCACCCUGCCACGGGGAUUCGAACCGCCAACCUUGCGAUCAGCAAGUCCUAGGCACUGAGGUUUUACCCACAGCGCCACCCGCGUCCCAAUCUAUACAGUGGUACCUUGGGUUAAAAACUUAAUUCAUUCCGGAGGUACGUUCUUAACCUGAAACUGUUCUUAACCCGAGGUACCACUUUAGCUAAUGAGGCCUCCUGCGCAAUUUCUUUUCUCAUCCUAAAGCAAAGUUCUUAACCCGAGGUACUAUUUCUGGGUUAGCGGAGACUGUAACCUGAAGUGUCUGUAACUUGAAGCGUCUGUAACCCGAGGUACCACACUAUAUAGAAAUGAGCAAACCAGUGAUAUUUUAGGGCGCAGGCUAGCAGGUGGGGCCCAUUACUUACAUCAUAGGCGCCUACACAACACAAAACACUGUUGCUGUAUGUGGGUUUUAUUUUGUUUUUUAAUCUUAUAUGUUGGAAAUGUACAUUCAGGUUUUUUUUCCUUUAAUUUUUUUGGGCCCCCAAGAGAGUGGGGCCCUAAGCUAUAGCUUGUUUAGCUUAUACAUAAAUCAGGCACUACCUCCAUUCAGCAGAAGGCGGGAAGGUUGUGGACUCUCCUUCCUUGGAGGUUUUUAAGCUGAGGCUGGAUGGCCCUCUGUCAUGGAUGCUUUAGCUGAGAUUCCUGCAUUGCAGCGGGUUGGACUAGAUGAUCCUUGAGGUCCCUUCCAUCUCUAUGAUCUGCCUGCAGCAGCUGCCCUUUUCAUAUCUGGCAUUUAAAAGGGCUAAUUCUUUGACGGCAUUCUGGAGCACAGAGAAACUUUUCUUGCUUUAGGGUGUCUGGCUCCAUCACAGGGCUUGGACGGAAAGCUAGCAAUAAAUGAAAGAUUUUAAAAAUAGAAGCCUAAUAUUUUAGCCGGGUGGGAGGAGGUGGAAUGAUGCACCAACCGAGGGCCGCCGUCCAGAGAAGCGACUGAAAACAAGACUUGACAAAGGCAAGAUUUAAAAGUUUGUGCUAGGGUAGAAAUGGCCCAGAGGAGAUCAAGGGACUCUGCAGCGCAGCUCAGGAAGACCAAAGAGGGCAGCAGAGUUCAAAAGGAGAAGGUUGAAAGAUUACAGCAGCUUGGCAGCGGCUCAGCCAGGGCCACAAUCAAAAGGCCACGCUAAAAAUUGGACGAUGUAUAAUGGGAAGGUCAGGAGUCAACGUUUGCUCUGAAGUCCUUUCAGGCAAUUCACGAUAGAAGAGAUGAGCUUCCUGGUGUAUUUUGCAAGCAUCUGACCUUGAAAAAUCCAGCUGUAGACUUGAGCAGCGCAUCUCGGUGACAGAUGCAUCCUGGAAAUCCAUGUUAGCUCUGAGCUAACUUCUGCCAAGCUGCAGCUCUUCACAGGUUCCUGCUGACCUUGGCUAUGAAACCCCCAUUCGGAUUUCCCUUAGAACUCUGCCAAUGGGUAGCACUCGGUUCUCCCAGUAAGACCCCAAGGGGACCUUUCAUUAAUGCAGAAAGGAGACUCCAAAUGUGGACCUCUAGGCCUCUCUAGAUCCAAAGGUGGACCUCUAGGCCUCUCUCUCAGGGUGCACCCCUGUUAGCAAAGUCACUUAAAUGACACAUAGAGAAAUCCUUAUAACAUUUUACUGAGGAAACUGAACAAAACUGUGUAUUAUUUGAGGAGCAAGGAACAGGAAGGUUUUGUCUUUUUUAGUUCGGGCCUUGUACAUAGCAGGCAGACGUUCAACGAAACAUACAGAGAGAAAACUCCCUUGGGAUGUCUGCAGGGAGGAAGCUAUUGAUCCCUGACAUCUGCACAUAUGCCGGGGGUCAAAGGCUUCCUGGUUGGGUGGGACUGCAGCAUUAUAAGGUUACCUGAUUACUAGGGCUGAUGGGAAUUGUACUUCAGCAAUAUCUGGAGGGCCAAAGGUUUCCCAAUCCUGCAAUAUGGGAACACAGUAAGCCCAUGAUCCACCUAGCUCAGCACUGUUGACACUGACAGGCAAAAACUCUCCAGAGAUUCAGACAGGUGUCUCUCACAGCCCUAUCUGGAUAUUGAACCUGGUAACCUACGCAGGCCAGGCAGACCCUCUAUCACUAACCUACAUAGAAACAAUAUUUCUCUCGGACAAUAUUUCUUAAUUUUUGAUGGUAAGGUUGUGUGGCAGGUGUGUAUAUGUGUCUCCUUGUGUGUUUCCUUUCUGAGUUGCUUAAAUCUUUUGAACUUGGCAAAUGUAACCUGAAGUAGACUUUCCGCAACCCCUCCUGAACCGAGCUGAACUUCAUGUCCUUUCCUAAUAAGCAUGUUUUCCUUGCUUAUUACAGCUUACUGAGUUUCUUUCUAAUCUUUCAAUUGCAGCUUUGAAAAUAAGCAUCUCGUGUAACAGUUAAUAGCGCUUAUAAGAAAAUGAAAUGGGUGUGUGUGCAAAUUUCUCUACCAUAGCUGUGUUGACAAAAAUAGCCUUAACUGUUAAGCACUCUCAAAUACACUUUGGAAUAAGAAUAUUCAAGAAGUGGGUUAUUUGAGUUUGUCAUUUAUAGAAAAGUUGUCACUGCAGUGGUUAUACCAAUGUUGGGAAGGACACAGAGGGGGUAGAAUGCAUUUCAUGAAGUGGGGAGGUAGCUUUUUCCAGAAAUCCUAUCAUGUAGGUAAAGGUAAAGGACCCCUGGAUGGUUAAGUCCAAUCAAAGGCAACUAUAGGGUUGUGGCGCUCAUCUCGCUCUCAGGCCAAAGCAGCCAGCAUCUGUCCACAGACAGCCUUCCGGGUCAUGUGGACAGCAUGACUUAACCGCUUCUGGCGCAAUGGAACACCGUGAUGGAAACCAGAGAGCACAUAAACGCCGUUUACCUUCCUGCUGCAGCGAUACCUAUUUACCUAUCUACUUGCACUGGCAUGCUUUCGAACUGCUAGAUUGGCAGGAGCUGGGACAGAGCAACGGGAGCUCACCUCAUGUAACCCCAGAAAACCCCUUACAUCUCAUGGAACCCCAGAAAACCCCUUACAUCUCAUGGAACCCCAGAAAACAUCAACAUUGAUAGUAUUUUCUAGUAGUUUCUUUUCAUCUUCUUCUGAAACCCAUCUUUUCUAUUUCUAAGAAAGAUGCUUAACCUUUCAUUAUGGUAUGACACGGGAGCUCACUCCGGCGUGGGGAUUCGAACCACCGACCUUCUGGUCGACAAGCCCAAGAGGCUCAGUGGUUUAGACCACAGCGCCACCCACAUCCCUUCUCAUCACAUAGAUGCAACCAAGGCAUCAAAGAGAAAGCAAGGAUGUGGGAACACAGAUGUAUCUUGUUUGCUCAAGUAAGGCUCAAGUGGAACAAGAAGCCUUCUGAUACCCUGACCUGUCCACAGUGCCCAAAGGCCACCAUAGGUGGGAUGAGUUAAUCUAAUGUAGUCUCUACUCCAAUUCAGCAUGAAAAGUUCGGCUUUCUAUUUCACACAUAAGAGCAGCGAUAGGGAACUUCACUGCGGCCCUCUGAGCCUCUCUAUCUGGCCCCUGUGGCUGUUCUCAGGAAGAGAACAUGGUGGAAGAAACGACUCUCCAUCUGCACAAGUACCAAUUCCUGCCGAAUGUUGAUCUUGAGGCUGCCACUUAACAAGAAACUGCUGGAAGGAGAAGAGAGAGGAAUUAUAAUGCCCAUUCCAAUUUUUGCUUUCCUGAAUUGGAGAGGAACAAACCUCGAGUCUAUCCCAGUGGGCACCCACUGACAGGAGCGAGCCAGCAGGAAAAUGCACUGAGCAAGUUGGAGUUAAAAGGUAAAGGGACCCCUGAGCAUUGGGUCCAGUCAUGACCAACUCUGGGGUUGCGGCGCUCAUCGCGCUUUAUUGGCCGAGGGAGCCGGCAUACAGCUUCCAGGUCAUGUGGCCAGCAUGACUAAGCUGCUUCUGGCGAACCAGAGCAGUGCACGGAAAAGCCGUUUACCUUCCCGCUGGAGCGGUACCUAUUUAUCUACUUGCACUUUGACGUGCUUUCGAACUGCUAAGUUGGCAGGAGCAGGGACCGAGCAACAGGAGCUCACCCCGUCGCCGGGAUUCGAACCACCGACCUUCUCAUUGGCAAGUCCUAGGCUCUGUGGUUUAACCCACAGCUCCACCCACGUCCCAUAAGUUGGAGUUAACUCUUAGCAAAAACAGGAUCUACACAGGAGUGUCAGGCCUAGUGAGCAUAGCAACUCAUCUCCGGCAGGGUGGGCCCCCUAUGAAGCAGUUGCUGAGGCUGAAGGUCCCUGCCUCCCCAGUCCCCUCCUCUCCAGGGUUUCCCCCAAGCAAUCUGAGACUGUACCUGUGCAAAGCUAACUUCUCCUCUUUCCUCUUCAUGCCUCUCCUGGUUCUGGCAGACCAGUGGGAGGGGAGCUUGUCGCAGAGAUCUGUGCCUCUUGACCAGCCAGACUCCUCUCUCUGCCUCUUGGCCUCCAGCCCCUGAUUCUGGACAUCUCUCUUCUACAGACUCUCCCUGCUCACCAAGCCCUGUUUCCUCUUCAGCUUCUGAAACAACCUCCUCCCAGUCUUAUCCCUCUGACCACUCAUCGUCAUCCCACCAUCAACUCCUUCCCUCGGGGGUUCCCCAGCUGGUUCCUCCCUGUGGCGUUAACAUAUGAGAGAGUGCUGGAGGUGAAAUAGUUAAACAGGUUGCCCAGUCAGGACCCAGGGGGGUGGAGUCAGUGGGACUAUAAAACCAGCUCUGGGAGGGGCAAAGGAGAGAGUUUGUUGGAGAGUUCAUUGGGAGUUGGGUGGUUGGUUGGAGUGGGAAUGAAUUGGGCUAGAGUUGUGGGUAGGUUGAGUUAGUGUAGCGAAACAGGCUGAGUCAGGAACAGUUAGGAGCUAGGAAGACAAGUAAAUCUCUGAGAGGUGGUUUAGUGAGUGAGAGUAGGUAGUGGAAGUUAUAGGUCUGGAUAGGAACCCCAUGAAUGUAAUUGACUGAUACUGUUUAUGAAACCACACACUUGUUAAACUGCAAUAAAUAAACAAAAGUUUGUUUCAAUUUAACCCUGACUAGACUUAGUAUUGUCCCAGGUAGGGCCUGGGUGGUGGCAGCGAGAAAUAAAGUGGUGGCACAGGGAUCAAUAGACGGUGAAACGUCCGGGGACCCUGUGUGAUCGCCACACUCCCUCCAUUCCUCCUCUUCAUCCAACCUGUCCAUGACACCCACCCCUGAUUAAGACUGUUGAAAUUUGGAGUGGCCUAAUGGCCCUCCAGGGAUGCAGGUGGUGCUGUGGGUUAAACCACAGAGCUUAGGACUAGCAGAUCAGAAGGUCGGUGGUUCGAAACCCCGCGACGGGGUGAGCUCCCGUCGCUCGGUCCCUGCUCCUGCCAACCUAGCAGUCCGAAAGCACAUCAAAGUGCAAGUAGAUAAAUAGGUACCGCUCCGGCAGGAAGGUAAACAGCGUUUCCGUGCGCUGCUCUGGUUCGCCAGAAGUGGCUUAGUCAUGCUGGCCACAUGACCCGGAAGCUGUACGCCGGCUCCCUCGGCCAAUAAAGCGAGAUGAGCGCCGCAAUCCCAGAGUCAGUCACGACUGGACCUAAUGGUCAGGGGUCCCUUCACCCUUUACCUUUAAUGGCCUGCCUCAGGUGUCUUUGCCUGGCUGGAAUGUGCCCUUGAGCUCUUGAUCGGAUCUUUUGCUUCCCUGGGUGGAGCAUAGAGAGAGGUGGGUGAAAGUGUAUAUAAACUAACAUACUAGUUUCAACACUCGACUUGACACUCAUUGCUGUGCUCACUGGUGCCUCUGACCACCCCUUUCACUGCCCCGUCGGCUCCUUGAAGGCAGUGCCCCAUUUGCCCUACUGGGCCAGCUUCCACUGGGAACCAGAACUUUGCUGCCCACAUGUAUUUCUAGCUGUCAACCGGUGUAACGUGUGAAAAUGUUUCAUUUGCUUUGCGUUGCUCGCUUUGCUUGAUCUUGCUGCAUCCCCCUCUCUCCGCAGUGAAGCUGGAAUAGCUCCUCUCUGUUUAUUCCCUCCCCACAACCAAUUUUGAAAUUUAAAAUCCUGCGCAGCUCCCAGCAAAACAGAUAUUAUCAGCCACCUAUCACCUCUGUUUCUGGCUUCUCCCGUCUCUCUCUGACCCUCUAUGCUUUUUCGAGCUAUGAUUAUUGCUUCCAGGAAUGAGCCAGGAGAUGAAUGUGUUAGCAUUGCCAGCACGCUCAUUUUCUGCAUUAAGUGACAAGUUCCCUGCCACUGGUUUUUAAAUGCCUGUAAUUAAAGAGGCAGGAGUGCUUGUAAUGUCAAAGGUCCAGUGAAUGGAAAUAGAACAGGGUAGAAACGACAGCCCCGUUAAGGGAGCGGAACGAUCCAUUUCAGUUAGUUAGAUCGAUUGCGCCAGCAUAAUCUGAUCAACUCCUAUUGAUCUCAGUUUUGCGCCCGCCGUGUAAAUGUUGCAUUUCAGCACCCUGCAAGCCUGAAAUGUUUGGAAACCGUUUUCACAGCUUGGGGAGGGACCACAGCUUAGCAACAGAACAAAUACUUUGUGCGCCGAAGGUCCCUGCCAUCUCCAGUUAAAAGCAAAUGGGGGGAAGGGAGAUAGCUCAGUCGGUAGAGCAUGAGACUCUUAAUCUCAGGGUUGUGGGUUCAAGCCCCAUGUUGGGUAAAAGAUUCCUACACCACAGUGGGUUGGACUGGAUGAUCUUCGUGGUCCCUUCCAACUCUACAAUUAUGCGAUUCUGUGAUUAUAGUUAAUGCUAGUCCCACUCAGAGUGGACCCAUUGAAAUCAAUAAAACCGUGGUAGUAUCCUUCAAUGAGUAGGAUACGAUCCACAGUCAGGUGCUCCCCUAGUGGGGCAUUUUGUAGUUUCAGCACAUUAUGCAGAAUCUAUCCUUUGGGGCCAAGGAAAGGGUACACCAGCCAAAUCUUAGGAAUGUGGACUGGGUGCUAGGACUACUCCCUCACUCUCUAUCUUGUUUUGGAAGCAAAUCCAGCUACAAUUUCAAUAGGACACACUUCUAAGUAAAUGGCUUAAGGGGGAGAAAAAACGACAACCCACUUAUAGUCCCAGAAUUAAACUUUUGACUAGGAGACAAAGCCUUUAGAUCAGGGGUGCCCAAGCUUUUUUCAAAGAGGGCCAGAUCUGAUGAAGUGAACACGCGUGAGGGCCGACCAAAGUUGUUGAACUUUUUUUUUUUUUUUUACAAUUUUACCCCAAAGUUGUUGAGCUUUUUAAAGGAUUUUACCCCAGGACAUAUACUGCCAUGGGGCCAGAUUAAAUCGACUCGUGGGCCGGAUUAGGCCCCCAGAGCGGACUUUGGACAUGCCUGCUUUAGAUGAUUAUAAAUUCAUCCACUCAUACAUUUUCUCAACUGGCCAAAAACAAUCACUCAAGCUGCAUACUCUUUAACCACCUUUGAGCAAAUAGUUGACCCCAUUAACCCACUACGAAAAUGAAUAAUUUCCCAAAUACAUAAGAUACUAGUUCAGUUGGCUUUGUCCCCACUUACGCUUUUAAAGAGGUACACUGAUGGCACAAACACACUGCAAAAUGGCAUAAAAUCAGCCAAAAUACCGUAUUUUUCGUUCCAUAGGACGCUCCGUCCCAUAGGACGCACCUACUUUUUUGGGGGGGAAAUAAAGGAAAAAUUUUUUUCCUUUAUUUCCCCCCCAAAACCAGGUCGGGGAACAGUGGGAUGGCAGCGCUGCGCCUCCCCGUUGUCCCCCGAGCUUGUGGGGCUGGCCGAUGUCUGCCCGGCGUGAGGGGCGCUCUGCUUCAGGGGGCCCAACGCGCGGGCGGCAGGCUGCAGACACCUGCGCGAGCACGGGGCGCCCUCCGGAGGGCGCCCCGUGCUCUGCGCUGCAGGCUGCCGCCCGCAAGCCGUGCGCGCCGGGGAGUUCCCCGGGUGCGCAAGGCUUGCGGACACCUGCGCCGGGCACGGGCGUCCUCCGGAGGGCGCCCCGUGCUCCGCGCUGCAGCAGCCGCCCGCAGCCUUGCACUCCCGGGCAGAUCCCGGGUGCGCAAGGCUUGCGGACACCUGCGUGAAGCACGGGGCAUCCUCCGGAGGGCGCCCCAUGCUCCGCGCUGCAGGCUGCCGCCCGCAAGCCUUGCACUCCCAGGGAGAUCCCCGGGCGGGCAAGGCUUGCCGACACCUGUGCGGGCACGGGGCGUCCUCCGGAGGGCGCCCCGUGCUCCGCGCUGCAGGCUGCCGCCGCAAGCCUUGCGCUCCCGCGGGGGAUCCCCCGGGUGCGCAAGGCUUGCCGACACCUGCGCGAAGCACGGGACGUCCUCCGGAGGGCGCCCCGUGCUCCGCGCUGCAGGCUGCCGCCCACAAGCCUUGCGUGCCCGGGGGAACUCCCCGGGUGCGCAAGGCUUGCAGAUAGCUUGGAGCCUGGAGAGCGAGAGGUGCCGGUGCGCACCGACGUCUCUCGCUCUCCAGGCUUCAGCGACAGCCUGCAUUCGCCCUAUAGGACGCACACACAUUUCCCCUUCAUUUUUGGAGGGGAAAAAGUGCGUCCUAUAGGGCGAAAAAUACGGUACCUCUCCUUUAUGCUGGUGAGAUUGUAAACUUCCUGAAUCACUGUACCACACAUAUGGUGGUAGUGUCCAAAGUUUGUUCCCUUUGCGGGGAAAAGUUUCCAGACCACAAACCAGAUUAGGAAAUACCUACUCCAAAAUAGCACUCUUAUCUUAUUUUCUUUUAGAUGCUCAAGGAAUGCCUAUAAAAGUUCUUUUUACCCAUUUGCCAGAGUAACAAUUGCCAGGUUUUGGAGGACUCUUAAAAUAAAUCCCACUGAAGCCUGGCUGUCACAGAUAUGGGACUCUAUUCUUACUGUCAGGGUCUGGGCAGAGGAGGAAUGGUGACUCAAAGUACAUUUAAGCAUGCAAUUUUACUCACCUAUAUUCCGAAGUGGGAGGCCUGUACAACAUGAUUUUUAAUGAACAUUAUAACAUGCUGCUCAGGCUGUAAUUCACGGUGUCUUAAAUCAGCUUCUAGUGAGUCUACUUGGAAAUCUUGUCCAUUGUAGUCUCCUAAGCAAUUCUCCCCCUAUCAAUCUUAUGCUUCCAAAUCCUAAUCCUAUUUUACACCUUUCCUGGUGUUUCAAAACCUCCUUCAGCACAUUUGUGCAGUUAUCACUCAUGCACAGAAUGAGCAACUGAACAUUCCUGAAUAGUUUCUGACACUUAUCUUCCUCAUCAAUCCUCAUUGUUUAUCAUCAAACUCCUCACAGUGACAAAGGAUGAUUCAAGAGCACGGAUCUUAAAGUGGAAGCUGGUGUCAGAAACUCUUCCUUGAGUGCCCUGCAGAGGUGUGUGUCAGUAAUAGUGCUGCUAUGAAAAGCAAAACACUGCUUGAAAAGAAAACCCACGGAAUUUUGGGAAGAAUGGUUCGGCUUAGCUGCAACAAAACCAGAAAUUUGCUCCCUCCCUCUACAGUAUGAAAUGGUGCAGUCCAGCAGGGAUGGAGGAGAAAUUUGAUCCAGUUUGCAUUUAAAGGUGAUCCUACCCAACUUUCACCUUUUAAAACAAUGCACAAACUGAAACAUAGCCAGUCUUUGAAAUGUACCCUUAACUGAAUUUUUCAAUGCAUUUCUCCAGUGUGUACGUACAAAAGUACGUAAAGUUAAAUCUGUAUAAAGAUGCAUAUAUUAGUGAAAAUAAUAUACAAACGGUGAAAUUAUAUGUGGGGAAAUUGUAUGGGGGGAAUGUGUAUGUUAGGCAAAAUUGCAUACAAGCAUGUGUAUUAGGAAAAAUCAGUAUUUAAAUACUGAAGAAUUUUAAAGAGGACUUUUCUUUUUAAAGGCAGCAAACUGAUGUGGAAAUGUGGAGAAGUGGAAAAAUGAGAAACGGAGAGAAACAAAAACUGACCCCAUCUCUACAGUCCAACAAAAGCUUCGUUCCUAUUGCCUCCACCCAUAAGCCGAACUGGUACACUCAAAGUAAACCUUUACCUGUCCACUAAUGCUGAUUGUAUAGAUUGGCCCACUAGAGUCAAAGAGCUGGUACAGACAUAACAUCAUCUGGUCUCUUGGCCUUGGCCAUAUUCUCCAAUUAAUCCGGACCAGGGAUUGUCUCAGGUCACACCUAGAUGGUCUGAUUAUGCAGCAUCCAUCCUGAUCGUUUGCACUGAGUUAAUACAACAUCCACUGUUUACUGAGCGUGCAUUCUGAUUUGUUUCCAGAGAGCUUAUGUCAAAAAAAGUGUUUCCCCAGACUUUCUGGUGCAUUUCCCACCAAUUUCCUAACUGUAAAAUGCCAGAGUUUGGGGCUUUUUUUGGAAGGCGUUUUGUUCCACAAGAACACCAAAUCCAUUCAAACUGCACAACCUGAAUUUGUUGACCUGCUGCUGAAUCCCAGCUGAAUAUUUCCAAAAUGGCAUAUAGAAAUGCAUCAUAUUAGGGGAAACUGCUUGCAAAAAUAAAAAUAAAAAAUGCUUAUAUUAAGAGAAAUGUGUACUAAAAUGCUGGC